rnacentral:rRNA from 1 species
GUGGGGAAUAUUGGACAAUGGGGGGAACCCUGAUCCAGCCAUGCCGCGUGUGUGAAGAAGGCCUUUUGGUUGUAAAGCACUUUAAGCGAGGAGGAGGCUACCGAGAUUAAUACUCUUGGAUAGUGGACGUUACUCGCAGAAUAAGCACCGGCUAACUCUGUGCCAGCAGCCGCGGUAAUACAGAGGGUGCAAGCGUUAAUCGGAUUUACUGGGCGUAAAGCGCGCGUAGGUGGCCAAUUAAGUCAAAUGUGAAAUCACCGAGCUUAACUUGGGAAUUGCAUUCGAUACUGGUUGGCUAGAGUAUGGGAGAGGAUGGUAGAAUUCCAGGUGUAGCGGUGAAAUGCGUAGAGAUCUGGAGGAAUACCGAUGGCGAAGGCAGCCAUCUGGCCUAAUACUGACACUGAGGUGCGAAAGCAUGGGGAGCAAACAGGAUUAGAUACCCGGGUAGUCC